UACGGGGGGAGCAAGCGUUGUUCGGAUUUACUGGGCGUAAAGGGCUCGUAGGCGGCCAACUAAGUCCGACGUGAAAUCCCCAGGCUCAACCUGGGAACUGCGUCUGAUACUGGAUGGCUUGAAUCCGGGAGAGGGAUGCAGAAUUCCAGGUGUAGCGGUGAAAUGCGUAGAUAUCUGGAGGAACACCGGUGGCGAAGGCGGCGUUCUGGACUGUCUCUGACACUGAAGAACGAAAGCCAGGGGAGCAAACGGG
rnacentral:rRNA from 1 species